rnacentral:misc_RNA from 1 species
UUUCCGUAGGUGAACCUGCGGAAGGAUCAUUCAUAAUAAGUGUUUUACUGCACUUUUUAAAAAUAGUACUCACCUUGUGUGCAAUGUUGUGUUUCUUUUCGGAGAAACACCUACACCAACCUAUAACCUUGAACCACUUUGUCUGAAAAACUAUUAUGAAUACUUAAUUCAAAAUGCAACUUUCAACAACGGAUCUCUUGGCUCUC